rnacentral:rRNA from 1 species
GACGAACGCUGGCGGCGUGCCUAAUACAUGCAAGUAGAACGCUGAGGUUUGGUGUUUACACUAGACUGAUGAGUUGCGAACGGGUGAGUAACGCGUAGGUAACCUGCCUCAUAGCGGGGGAUAACUAUUGGAAACGAUAGCUAAUACCGCAUAAGAGUAAUUAACACAUGUUAGUUAUUUAAAAGGAGCAAUUGCUUCACUGUGAGAUGGACCUGCGUUGUAUUAGCUAGUUGGUGAGGUAAAGGCUCACCAAGGCGACGAUACAUAGCCGACCUGAGAGGGUGAUCGGCCACACUGGGACUGAGACACGGCCCAGACUCCUACGGGAGGCAGCAGUAGGGAAUCUUCGGCAAUGGACGGAAGUCUGACCGAGCAACGCCGCGUGAGUGAAGAAGGUUUUCGGAUCGUAAAGCUCUGUUGUUAGAGAAGAACGUUGGUAGGAGUGGAAAAUCUACCAAGUGACGGUAACUAACCAGAAAGGGACGGCUAACUACGUGCCAGCAGCCGCGGUAAUACGUAGGUCCCGAGCGUUGUCCGGAUUUAUUGGGCGUAAAGCGAGCGCAGGCGGUUCUUUAAGUCUGAAGUUAAAGGCAGUGGCUUAACCAUUGUACGCUUUGGAAACUGGAGAACUUGAGUGCAGAAGGGGAGAGUGGAAUUCCAUGUGUAGCGGUGAAAUGCGUAGAUAUAUGGAGGAACACCGGUGGCGAAAGCGGCUCUCUGGUCUGUAACUGACGCUGAGGCUCGAAAGCGUGGGGAGCAAACAGG